rfam:Erinaceus europaeus unplaced genomic scaffold scaffold00019, whole genome shotgun sequence
UUGCUCCGGCAGCACAUAUACUAAAAUUGGAACGAUACAGAGAAGAUUAGCAUGGCCCUUGCGGAAGGAUGACACGCACAUUUGUAAAGUGUUCCAUAAUUUU